rnacentral:tRNA from 1 species
GCCUGGCUGGCUCAGUCAGUAGAGCAUGCAGCCCUUGAUAGCAGAGUUGUGAGUUCAAGCCCCACGCUGGGUG